UGUCAUCACCAAUAGACGAAUUUCACAUUCCUUAGAGUUUUCUCCAAUUGUCAAUAUAUCGCUCAUUUUUCCCACUUUGUCCUUUGUCCUGUUCUGUGGAUGCCCUAAGACAGUGUCUACCCAUCACUCCAUCUGAAAUCACUUGUUCUGUGCAUAUUUCUCUCUCAAACUUAAACUACAGAGAGCCUGUGGAUAGAGGAUGAAGAGUGACCUUGGACUAAUUUUCUAGGUCAAAGAUCAUAGGUGACGUGAAGAAAACCAGGAAACUGAUGUUGAAAGAAGUACUUAAUGACCCUUAUGAAUGGACUUAAAUGUGAAAGACUGUUCCAUUGUUUAUCUAAGAUAUAUGAAUUUAUUUAAUAUUUUGAUAUCAUUGAAAAAUUCAGUUACAGUUUUUGUACAUCAAAUGAAUUAUUAAACAUAUAAAAUGGUAA